rnacentral:rRNA from 1 species
AACGAACGCUGGCGGCAUGCCUAACACAUGCAAGUCGAACGAGACCUUCGGGUCUAGUGGCGCACGGGUGCGUAACGCGUGGGAACCUGCCUUUAGGUUCGGAAUAAACUCAGAGAAAUUUGAGCUAAUACCGGAUAAUGUCUUCGGACCAAAGAUUUAUCGCCUUUAGAUGGGCCCGCGUUGGAUUAGCUAGUUGGUGGGGUAAAGCCUACCAAGGCGACGAUCCAUAGCUGGUCUGAGAGGAUGAUCAGCCACACUGGGACUGAGACACGGCCCAGACUCCUACGGAGGCAGCAGUGGGGAAUAUUAGGACAAUGGGCGCAAGCCUGAUCCAGCCAUGCCGCGUGCAGGAUGACGGUCCUAUGGAUUGUAAACUGCUUUAUUACAGGAAGAAACACUACUUCGUGAAGUAGCUUGACGGUACUGUAAGAAUAAGGAUCGGCUAACUCCGUGCCAGCA